GACGAACGCUGGCGGCGUGCCUAAUACAUGCAAGUUGAGCGCUGAAGGUUGGUACUUGUACCGACUGGAUGAGCAGCGAACGGGUGAGUAACGCGUGGGGAAUCUGCCUUCGAGCGGGGGACAACAUUUGGAAACGAAUGCUAAUACCGCAUAAAAACUUUAAACACACGUUUUAAGUUUGAAAGAUGCAAUUGCAUCACGACAAGAUGAUCCCGCGUUGUAUUAGCUAGUUGGUGAGGUAAAGGCUCACCAAGGCGAUGAUACAUAGCCGACCUGAGAGGGUGAUCGGCCACAUUGGGACUGAGACACGGCCCAAACUCCUACGGGAGGCAGCAGUAGGGAAUCUUCGGCAAUGGACGAAAGUCGGACCGAGCAACGCCGCGUGAGUGAAGAAGGUUUUCGGAUCGUAAAACUCUGUUGGUAGAGAAGAACGUUGGUGAGAGUGGAAAGCUCAUCAAGUGACGGUAACUACCCAGAAAGGGACGGCUAACUACGUGCCAGCAGCCGCCGUAA
rnacentral:rRNA from 1 species